UACGGAGGGGGCUAGCGUUGUUCGGAAUUACUGGGCGUAAAGGGCGCGUAGGCGGCGAUUCAAGUCAGGCGUGAAAGGCCUGGGCUCAACCCGGGAACUGCGUUUGAUACUGGAUUGCUGGAGUCCGGGAGAGGAUGGCGGAAUUCCCAGUGUAGAGGUGAAAUUCGUAGAUAUUGGGAAGAACACCGGUGGCGAAGGCGGCCAUCUGGACCGGAACUGACGCUGAGGCGCGAAAGCUAGGGGAGCAAGCAGG
rnacentral:rRNA from 1 species